GCGCCGAGGUGGCUGAGGUGAGGGCGGUUUGUUGACGCGCUGAGGCGCGUGAGGGCCCAGUCUGCCGCCGGGAGAGAGGGGAGGGGAGCAGCCCCGGGCCCGAAGGACGCCCCCUGGGGAGAGGGGCCGGAACCCAGGAGUCCGGGGCCCGGUGUGGGGCUGCGCGCGGCCAAGCCCCGCCCGCGCUGCGGGCUCCCUGUGGGGGAGGGGUUGGACACGAGGCCGCUAACACGCUCACCAGCUCUAGUGUGGACGGGCCGGGGGCGGCUGUAACUCGUGUUAGCUGGGCGUGGCCACGCAACCCAGACCCCCUCCCCCGGCUGGCACGUGUUCAACGCCUCCUGCCUUGGGAGUGAGGCUGAUUCCUGGUGUGAGCAGGGCAGGGGGGCGUUUCUCACGGGCCAGCGGGAUGGGGCUACACUGGGUGCUGAGGGCAGGGCUUGAAUCCUCUGCUCAUGUAGAUGCAGCUUAGUGCAAGUGUGUCUGUGUAAACUGGGACUCUCAUCCCCCCCAUGCCAGGUCCUAACCUGCAGGGCCAGCUAAUGCGUCAAGGCUGUCCUGCGGUCUCUGUUUCAAACUUGUUGGCCGCCAUAGUUUUAAUGCACCUGUUUUUUUCUACCGUAAACUUAACCCUGGGGUCCGUUACUGAGGAACGCUUGCCCCAGUUAGAGGUCGGACAAGCUGCUGUUGUGGAGGUUGCUGCAUUAACCAUUGCAGGACGUGUCCUGCCGAGGGUAGCCUGUGAUGAGCUUUCGAUUUCUGACACCUCGUAUGAGUAUUGCCCAAGCAGUACUUGAUUACGCUUCAUGCCUGAGGCUGCAUGUUGUACUUGUAACUAUCAUGACUACUUUGAGAUGUAUUAAGUGGUGUGGUGUUUUUUUAAAGGUUACCCGAUGCCUCUGGUCAACACAAGUUGAGGAAUGAAAUGGACCAGAAGAGCUCACUUCCAUUGUUGGCAUCAAAACAACUGUAAAGCUCAUUAAUUCAAAUACAGAGGCUUUAAUUUGGAUUUACUUUAAGGCACAUGUGACCUGUGCAUUUUGAAUGAAACAUGAAAGGUAUAUUGUAUGAGUGAAAUGUAAGUUAUUAAACCAGUUGAAACAA